rnacentral:rRNA from 1 species
CAAUAGCGUAUAUUAAAGCUGUUGCGGUUAAAAAGCUCGUAGUUGGAUUUCUGUCAAGGACAACUGGUCCGCCCUCCGGGUGAGCACAUAGUUUGGUCUUGGCAUCUUGCUGGAAGCUGUUGCUGCACUUGGCUGUGUGGCGCAGCGUCCAGCAUUUUCACUUUGAGGAAAUUGGAGUGUUUCAAGCAGGCACAUGCCUUUGGACACAGUAGCAUGGAAUAAUUAGAUUGGGCUUUUGCUCCAAUUUGUCGGUUUCUGGAGCUGAGGUGAGAAUUAAUGGGGAUUGUUGGGGGCAUCCGAAUUUAGCCGUCAGAGGUGAAAUUCUUGGAUCUGCUAAAGACGGACAACUGCGAAAGCGUUUGCCCAGGAUGUUUUCAUUGA